rnacentral:rRNA from 1 species
AUGUCGUUGCCAGGCUGCCCCGACAAGUGCGGCAAUGUGCCCAUCCCAUACCCUUUCGGCAUAGGGGAGCACUGCGCCGCGACCAGCCGGAACAGCUACUUCAACCUGUCCUGCAAUGGCACGACCGAUCCCCCAAGGCCAAUGGUUGGUGAUCCCGGAGCAGUAGCUGAGGUUGCCGACAUCUCACUGGAGCACGGCGAGAUGCGCGUGCUCAGCCCCGUCAGCCACAUCUGCUUCAAGUCAAACGCCACAUUCACCGAGUUCACCAGAGGGUACGAGCUGGACAACACGCCCUUCCUACCCUCCCCGUCACGCAAUCACUUCACAGUCAUCGGCUGCAACACCCUGGGGCUCAUAGGCGGUUACAAGGGCACCGCAAGCCAGUACGUGGCUGGCUGCUACUCAUACUGCGAUGGUGUCAACAACACGUCGGAUGGCGCACCAUGUGCUGGGAUGGGCUGCUGUGAGACUGCCAUCCCAGCCAACCUCACCACCUUCGAGGUCAAGUUUGAGAUGAACCAGAGCAAGGUAUGGGACUUCAACCCGUGCUUCUACGCCAUGGUGGCCGAGGUUGGAUGGUACAAUUUCAAGCAGCAGGACCUCACCGGCAGCCUUGGGUUUAUCCAUGAUCAAGCCCGGGGGGGUGCUCCCAUCAUCGCUGACUGGGCCAUUAGGAAUGGCUCAUGCCCGGAGGAGGGGAAGGACGCACCUAAUGACCACGCCUGCAUCAGUGCAAACAGCUACUGCAUGGCUGCCAACAAUGGUCCAGGGUACUUGUGCCAGUGCUCCAAAGGAUAUGAGGGCAAUCCUUAUCUUCUGAACGGCUGUCAAGACACAGAUGAGUGUGCAUUGCGUAAGCAGGACACCAAGUAUGAAGAUUUGUAUCCGUGCAGAAAAAGGGACUGCCACAAGCCCACAACACACUGGGAGGCUACUUAUGCAAAUGCAAGACAGGAAAAAGAUCUGACGGUACAAAGUUUGGAUGCUAAUCUCUGCAUUCUCCAGCUGAAAAAUUGGUUAUUGGCCUCAUUGUUUGUGUUUCUGCAACCAUGCUGAUGGCCUUAACAUGCAUGUUGCUCAUGCAAUUUCAAAGAAAAAGGCACAAGAGAGAGAGAGAGAGAGAUGAGUACUUCAAACAAAAUGGUGGUCUCAAGUUAUAUGAUGAGAUGAGAUCAAGGCAGGUCGACACAAUCCGCAUACUCACAGAGAAAGAGAUAAAGAGAGCCACUGAUAACUAUAAUGAAGAUCGAGUAAUUGGACGUGGUGGUCAUGGUAUGGUCUACAGAGGAACUUUGGAUGACCAAAAAGAGGUUGCCAUAAAGAAGUCUAAAGCAAUCAACAAUGAUUGGAGAGAAGAAUUUGUCAACGAGAUUAUAAUCUUGUCACAGAUCAAUCACCGAAACAUUGUGAGAUUACUUGGCUGUUGUCUGGAUGUAGAUAUCCCAAUGUUGGUUUAUGAGUUUGUCUCCCAUGGUACUCUAUCUGAGUUCCUUCAUGGUGCCGCACCUAGAUCUCCAAUCCCAUUCGAUCUUCGCCUGAAGAUUGCUACACAGUCAGCAGAAGCUCUAGCUUACUUACAUUCGUCGACAUCUCGCACAAUCCUACAUGGGGAUGUCAAGUCUGCCAACAUUCUCUUGGAUGAUCAGCUCAAUGUAAAGGUUGCCGAUUUUGGAGCAUCAGCACUUAAGUCCAUGGAUGAAAGUGAGUUCAUCAUGUUUGUCAAUGGAACAAUUGGCUACCUUGAUCCUGAGAGCUUUACCAGCCGUCGGCUCACCGAUAAAAGUGAUGUGUACAGUUUUGGGGUGGUUCUUCUGGAGCUGAUGACACGAAGUAGGGCUAUAUAUUCUGACAGCUUCAAUGGAAAGGAAUCAUUGUCAUAUAGUUUUCCCUUGAUGUUUCAUCAGAAGACGCACCAUGUUAUGCUGGACUCUGAAAUUACAGAUGAUGCAGGCUUGGUGCUCCUUGAGAACAUGGCUGAACUUGCAGUUCAUUGCCUUAGCCAGAGGGGAGAUGACAUGCCAACAAUGAAGGAAGUUGCAGAGAGACUAGAGAUGAUGAGGAGACUCCAUUUGCACGGGAACAAUACUCACGAAAACAACCGCGGUGCGCAUAACUAUGGAGGGUCAUCUUCGGUUCUUGUCCCUUUCGAUGAGAAAACACAUGGAACCAUCGAUAUGUCUGAACUGGUUGAAGAUCUUGCAAGAUGA